CCUUUAAUAAAUAAAGUGUAAUAAAUAUAUGAAUAAAUAAAUAAUAUAUAGUAAGUGCAAACUCCUACUAAAUGAAAAACGGAAACAAAUUGCAAACUAACCACAUAGCAAGUGAGCCUAAACCAUAUGCGUGUAGUGAUAACAAACUAACCUCGUAGCAUAGCAGGUAAGCCUAGACCAUAUGCGUGUAGUGAUAACAAACUAGCCUCGUAGCAAAUACCACAUAGCAAGUAAGCCUAAACCAUAUGCGUGUAGUGAUAAGAUUAGUGUGGAGUAAAAAGUUGUAAAUAUUUUCUACUUAUGCGAAAUAUCGUAAAGACCAAAAAAUGUUUUUGACAUGUGUGUGUUUUUGAUGUGCAAGCAUGAGAAAAAUAAGUGAUGUAAUGUGUUUUCGAAGGAGACCUAGCACAGUAUAUAAAAGAGGCAUCGGGUUGGACUGAGGUGAAGCGAGUUCCCUGUCGGGAGGACAUCAUCGCAGAUGUUACCGACGCCCCGACAGCUUUGUUGCUGACCAUUCUCUGGCUCUCAGUCUCAACUUCUGCGGUGACCUCUCUGUCUAGAUUGUGAGGCGACGUCUCCUUCUCCGUGACAACUUCAGCGGACUGUGACCGGACCACGAUAGUGGUGCGGACCUCGUCCCAAUAAAGAUCAAGGACCUUGGGAUGACUUAAAAAUAGCUCAAGAUGAGAAAUACAACUGUGCUAUUGCUGAGUGGUGGAGACGGAGGAUGUGAUUGGAACCACAGAGGACAAAAAGGGACACACUCAGAGAUGGCAGUUACCUUUGAGAGAAAUCCAGAAACUUGCAGAACAACUUCUACACUUCAGGUGAAUGAAAGAAGAGC